GAAUGUCAAUGUUCUGCAAAAUCCUGCGAACGAGCCAUCAUUUGAUCCAGGUGUGUUGAACCAGGGAGAGAACUAAAACAUGCAUGGCUCUGGCCUUUGAGGACCCUUCUAUUACUAAUACUAAUCCAUUACAUCAUGAAUCACUACAAGUAGGAAGUGCUGGGCUGACCCCUGUCAUACAUCUGUCCUAGAUGUUGGGAGAAAAGGACAAACUAUGUCUUCAGCCACAAGGGGGCAGAAAAGCAUCACCAGCCGAGUUUGUAAGCGUCAUUUCAAUGAUGUCAGGGGAGAACGUGGUUCCAGGCUCUGUCUUGUGUUUGCCAUAGAAGGACAUGGUGGUGAGAAGUGUUGCUGCCUUUGGCAAAGAGAAGCUACAAAUCACAGAGGCUGGAUGCCUGACAGAAAGCUGCAGAAUCAGAUACAACAGAGAAAAACUGAGGUUAUGUUUUUGCUAAUGUGCUGAAAUGUCAUCCAUGAUGAGGACAUUUUAGUAUUGUUGUUUUUAGUUCAAGAUUUAAUGAU